CAAUAGCGUAUAUUAACGUUGUUGCAGUUAAAAAGCUCGUAGUUGGAUUUCUGGAGGGAGCGUCGACCCGUAUUUACGAGUGCGUGACGUCUCUGUCCAUCCUUGCGGGAAGGCACGGCAUUGAUUUGUUGUGUCGGAUCGCAUCAUUUACUGUGAAAAAAUUAGAGUGUUCAAAGCAGGCUUUCGCUUGAAUACAUUAGCAUGGAAUAAUAAGAUAGGACUUUGGUGCUAUUUUGUUGGUUGAGCCUAAAGUAAUGAUUAAUAGGGAUAGUUGAGGGCACCUGUAUUGCGUUGUCAGAGGUGAAAUUCUUGGAUUUACGCAAGACAAACAGCUGCGAAAGCGUCUGCCAAGGAUGUUUUCAUUAA
rnacentral:rRNA from 1 species